GCCAUCAUUAAGUUGGGCACUCUAAAGAGACUGCCGGUGUCAAACCGGAGGAAGUGGGAGUGACGUCAAGUCCUCAUGGCCUUUAUGACCAGGGCUACACACGUACUACAAUGGCAGGUACAAAGGGCAGCCACUUAGCGAUAAGGCGCGAAUCCCAUAAAACCUGUCUCAGUCCGGAUUGGAGUCUGCAACUCGACUCCAUGAAGUUGGAAUCGCUAGUAAUCGCAGAUCAGCACGCUCGCGGUCGAAUACGUUCCCGGGCCUU
rnacentral:rRNA from 1 species